rnacentral:rRNA from 1 species
UGCAGUCGAGCGGAGUCGGGACCUUCGGGUUGCCGGCUAGCGGCGGACGGGUGAGUAAUGCCUACGAAUCUGCCUGUUACUGGGGGAUAACGCGGGGAAACUCGCGCUAAUACCGCAUACGUCCUACGGGAGAAAGUGGGGGACCCUCGGGCCUCACGCUAACAGAUGAUCCUACGUCGGAUUAGCUCUUUGGUGGGGUAAAGGCCCACCAAGGCGACGAUCCGUAACUGGUCUGAUAGGAUGAUCACUCACACUGGAACUGAGACACGGUCCAGACUCCUACCGGAGGCAACACUGGGGAAUAUUGGACAAUGGGCGAAAGCCUGAUCCAGCCAUGCCGCGUGUGUGAAGAACGUCUUCAGAUUGUAAAGCUCUUUAAGUUGGGAGGAAUGUCGCUCGGUGAAAACCCAUGCGUCUUGACGUUACCGACAAAAUAAGCACCGGCUAACUUCGUGCCAGCAUCCGCGGUAAUACGAAGGGUGCAAGCGUUAAUCGGAAUUACUGGGCGUAAAGCGCGCGUAGGUGGUUCGGCAAGUUGGAUGUUAAAUCCCUGGGCUCAACCUGGGAACCGCAUCCAAAACUACUGGGCUAGAGUACGGUAAAGGGUGGUGCAAUUUACGGUGUGGAAUUCCACGUGUAGAUGUGAGAUGCAUCACAUGUGGCAAGAGC